GAAAUAACUUAAAUUAAAGCUUCUAACUUUAAAUUCAAGCGUAUAAACGUUUUUAUUUCU
rnacentral:tRNA from 1 species